rfam:Triticum aestivum genome assembly, contig: Triticum_aestivum_CS42_TGACv1_scaffold_193715_3AL
UUCCUACUCUCUCCGUUCCGAAUUACUUGUAGCAGAUAUGGAUGUAUCUAGAUGUAUUUUAGUUCUAAAUACAUCCAUUUCUGCUACGAGUAAUUUGGAACGGAGGAAGUGCAAA